CGGAGGAUGCAAGCGUUAUCCGGAAUCAUUGGGUUUAAAGGGUCCGUAGGCGGUUUAAUAAGUCAGUGGUGAAAGCCCAUCGCUCAACGAUGGAACGGCCAUUGAUACUGUUAAACUUGAAUUAUUAGGAAGUAACUAGAAUAUGUAGUGUAGCGGUGAAAUGCUUAGAGAUUACAUGGAAUACCAAUUGCGAAGGCAGGUUACUACUAAUAUAUUGACGCUGAUGGACGAAAGCGUGGGGAGCGAACAGGAUUAGAUACCCUGGUAGUCCACGCCGUAAACGAUGGAUACUAGCUGUUCGGAGCAAUCUGAGUGGCUAAGCGAAAGUGAUAAGUAUCCCACCUGGGGAUACGUUCGCAAGAAUG
rnacentral:rRNA from 1 species